UGGGGAAUAUUGGACAAUGGGGGCAACCCUGAUCCAGCCAUGCCGCGUGAGUGAUGAAGGCCCUAGGGUUGUAAAGCUCUUUUAACGGGGAAGAUAAUGACGGUACCCGUAGAAUAAGCCCCGGCUAACUUCGUGCCAGCAGCCGCGGUAAUACGAAGGGGGCUAGCGUUGCUCGGAAUCACUGGGCGUAAAGGGUGCGUAGGUGGAUUUUUAAGUCAGGGGUGAAAUCCUGGAGCUCAACUCCAGAACU
rnacentral:rRNA from 1 species